CCUACGGGUGGCAGCAGUGGGGGAUAUUGCACAAUGGGCGAAAGCCUGAUGCAGCGACGCCGCGUGAGGGAAGACGGUCCUCGGCGCGUAAACCUCUGUCAUCGGGGAAGAAAAUGACGGUACCCAAAGAGGAAGCUCCGGCUAACUACGUGCCAGCAGCCGCGGUAAUACGUAGGGAGCAAGCGUUGUCCGGAAUUACUGGGUGUAAAGGGAGCGUAGGCGGGAUGGCAAGUAGGAUGUUAAAUCCAUCGGCUCAACCCGUGGCUGCGUUCUAAACUGCCGUGCUUGAGUGAAGUAGGGGCAGGCGGAAUUCCUGGUGUAGCGGUGAAAUGCGUAGAUAUUAGGAGGAACACCAGUGGCGAAGGCGGCCUGCUGGGCUGUAACUGACGCUGAGGCUCGAAAGCGUGGGGAGCAAACAGGAUUAGAUACCCGGGUAGUC
rnacentral:rRNA from 1 species